UACGGGGGGAGCAAGCGUUGUUCGGAUUUACUGGGCGUAAAGGGCGCGUAGGCGGUCGUGACAAGUCACUUGUGAAAUCUCCGGGCUUAACUCGGAACGGUCAAGUGAUACUGUCGUGCUAGAGUACAGAAGGGGCAAGCUGGAAUUCUCGGUGUAGCGGUGAAAUUCGUAGAUAUCGGGAGGAACACCAGUGGCGAAGGCGGCUCUCUGGGCCACUACGUGACGCUGAGGAGCGAAAGCGUGGGGAGCGAACGAGG
rnacentral:rRNA from 1 species